AGCCACAGCCAUAUCACCUUGCAGCCCAAUACCAGUUACUCACUGAAGCUAAGCAGGGCUUAGCCUAGUCAGUACCUGGAUCGGAGACCACAUGGGAAAAACUAGGUUGCUUUUGGAA
rnacentral:rRNA from 1 species